rnacentral:tRNA from 3 species
GGGGCUAUAGCUCAGUUGGUAGAGCGCCUGAAUCGCACUCAGGAGGUCAGCGGUUCGACUCCGCUUAGCUCCA